GCUGGGAUGGCCGAGUCGUUAAGGCGAGUGAUUUGAACGAAGCUCAGUCGCGGCAGCGGCUUAUGUAAUCAUCAAAUUAUCACUUGGUGUUUCACCGCGUAGGUUCAAAUCCUGCUUCCAGCG